GAAGAAAAAUGAACAGGAAGCAACGUAUGCAAGGGACAGCCUCCGCUUCUACAAGCCUCCCCAGAAACCAUGCUUACUGGGAUUGCAAGGGGAAACAGCGAAGGGAUAAGGUCAACAAGCUGCCUCAGCACCAAGAGACAGAUGCUUCGCUCUAAUUGCCUGAGAACUUUCUUCAGAAAGCCCAAGGGAGGGAAGACGUAGAGAAUGCGGGUGAGGAGAAGAAAAAGAGCAAGAGGAACAGCAACAGCGUACAGAAAACACAAGCUUUAAGGCAUGGGGUAAAAGGAUACACAGUCUAAAUUAAAUACAUUCUUAUGAUAAGUGAGUAACAACACAUACAAGAUGUUACGUCAACAAAUCUAUCUGCAGAUCCUCUCAAACUCUAAUUGUCUCUAUACUGCUCAUCUUUUAAUACCUCAGUUGGAGAAAGUUAAUGUCACUGGAUAUCCAUUCCGUGACAUUUACAUCCACGCUGUAUGCAGCCUAGCUGUCUGCCUUCUUGACAUAAGCUGGGAUCAUCUGGGAGAAAGGAACCACAAUUGAGAAAAUACCUCC